rnacentral:lncRNA from 1 species
AACAGGACUAAAUGGAAAAUCGACUAAAAUAUCUUUUCGCUGAGGAAUAAACACACUAAAGAAACUCACUGGUAUUAUAUACAACAUGUACGGUGAAUAACUUUCCGGCUUCUAUUACCAUAAUGCCGAUUAUCAGCAACUAAAUGAAAUACUGUCAGACACACAUAUGCAAUGAAGUAGGACGAUAAAAAUAUGUUGCAAGGCUUGCAUAAUUCAAUAUCCGAUAUAAAUAUUGUGACCAAAUACAACUGCACGAUGUUCAUCACAAACGAUCUGUCAUGUUUUACGCAAGACAUAGACCAUCUUAUGACGGAAGACGCAAUGCUUCGUUCCACCGAAUUUCUAACGGGUAACCUCUUUCGAAAGGAAAGUUCGAUCGGUACAUCGAUCCAGUCAUCGAAACGAACGACAGGCGGCUCUGAAUUCAACUCGAGAGAUCGCAGGAUCCAUCUCGUGGCCAUAUGUGUGAUGAGAGGAGCAGGUCACUGACACCGAACAGCAAUGGAUUGACGCGGCGAGGUCAAGUCCUACGUGCGCUGUCGACAAUACUUCACGUUUAAAGGUAUCACCAAACAUUCCUUGCGGGAUAUCGCGUUACUUACGCCAGUACGGAACCAUAAUCAAUCGUCCGAACCCAGUCUCUGACUAUACAACGAAAGAUGUAAGUCGUAAAUCGUUGCGGAAGGUGCAAAUGGUGUAUCAUAGCUUAUGGUGGUAAACAACAUAGCUGUAAUACGUCUAUUUUGGAAGGAAAGAAAAGUGUUUCGAACGUUGUUCUUCUUUAAUUUAUGCCGAAACGUAUAGUUUGUGGUCUGUCAUAUUUGAAUUAAUAAUUGCGUAGAAUUGACAACUGAUCAAAGCCUACGUUCGAUGCGCGCGCAUCAUUACCUACUUAGGAAGUGCUUGGAAAAAUAUACUUACAAAACUAGUUUUUCUAGUUAACAUUAAUUUUUCAAUUUAUGAAUAACAGGUUUAUAUUACACGUUGCUGUCAUUCAUUAAAUCAGCUCUCAUAUGAUAUCGUAGUUGCUCAUGUCUGAAGUGUCACAUACAUAUUCAGAUAUUUCCUACACUCAUCUUUUGAUCAGUAUAAUAUUUUUAUUAUACUCAUCAGAUGUGUUCUUUUAUUUAUAUAAUUUAGUUUUUCUAUCUCGCUUUUUCUAUUUGAUUCAAGAGCAAAAAUUUCCAAAUCCUAUUUCUAUUAUUUCUAAUUAUUCAAAAUAAUAAUUCUAAGGAUUUUUAAAAUCGAGGAUGCUGAUGAUUUCAUAAAGUGAUUUCUUAUGAAUUAUGUAUGAUAUAUAUUUAGUGAAAAAUUCAUAAUAAUACGUAAGAUACAUAUUCCAUAAAAUUAUCAAAGAAUGAUGAUAUGAUAUACAAUGAAAUAACGCUGAAUAGUAAAUAGAUAAUUACACUCAUCUACAAACAUUAACCAGUGAUUUUUACAGCAACUGCUUCUCAGAGUCUUACAGAGUCAGAGUGGGAAAUGUACAAAUGAAUUCCUAGCAUGAGAACAAAAAUAACGGCACUUGCUAUUAAGAUAGAGGUUAGCAAUUAAUUAUCGAAGCACCUUGAAGAAGGCUUAUUUAAUUUUUUUUCUCUUCUUCAAUAUUACGGAAUAAUUUCGAUAUGUAUGAUAAAUAUUUUUAUAUCGUAAGAUAUGCGAGCCCGGUAUGUUGUGUUUCUACUUCUAUUUUAAUGAUAUUUUUCCGACUUCAUACUAAAAUGUAGGAACAUUAUUAAAUAACUAAUUAAAUCUUAGAUACAGUAGAAAGUAAAUUAAUGGUUUCAUUUUAUCCCGAUUAGAUAGACAUCAAAUGUUACCUGAAUAUCAAAUACUACAUACAAGAAUUGAUUAAUAGAAUAAUAGCAAACACCAUAAAAUAAUAGAAUAAUACCUAAAUAGUAGAAUAAUACUAUCAUUCAUACAGAUUUUGUUAAAGCAAAAAUAAAACAGUUUACAACAACUUGCUCGAUUAGGUAGUAUUUUAUCCAUGUAACUAUAAUUCGUAGAAAAUAUGUAUUUUCUCGCAAGUUUGUAAACUAUUUAUGCAAAUUUUCAAAUACCUACAUUACUACUAAAUACUAUACUAUUAUAUUGUUACCUAAUACUAGAUUUUAGUAACUUCUACUUUUCAAACUUGACCAUUGUGAAAAGGCUCGUCAAAAAAACAGAAUAACAUCUCGAAAUUUCGCCUUUCAAGUGAUGUGGUAUUAUUCUGUAAUUCUAUUGCUAACUGAUUGAGUUCUUUUUCCUAAAAGUAACACUCUUAAUAUCAUUAACUUUGCCAGCAAGUUCUGAUGAAAUGAUGAGUUUCUCCGAACAAAUUUUUUCUUCAAAGCAAUGUCCGACUCCGAAGAAACAAUAUGAUCUUUUCUUUGAUUAUUAAUCUAUUUGAAAAUUGUGUCACAUCCAAAUGAUUAUUAUCCCGAACAAUUGUUACUUUGCAUUACAAAUCGAUUUAUCUAUAAUAGACAUUUAGAAAUGGUGAAAUAUUCUUAUUACAUAUGUUGUAUGUAUAUGCUUCAUUUGCUCGGCAAACGGUUGACGACCGCAUGAAUUGUUCUAAUUAAGUUGAUCAGAUCCAAUUAAAGACUCUUUAUGCCCCUUCGCAGCUAAUUCCUCCCUUCUUCGAUUAAAAGGAGACAGAUGUACUUGUAUCAAUUAAUUAUUUUUUCAGUUAUGAAUGACUUUUUGAUAAGAGAAUCUAGAAAUACUUACACUUACACAAAUGUUUCAUUGUUGAGUUCCCUAAAUUUUAUCAAAAAAUUUUUCGUUAAAUUAUCAAUAGCAUACAAUAAAUGGUAAAGGCAACGAUUAUGUAAAAAUCUGAGGUAACAGUAAACGUUUUCGCUAAAUAUGUAUGUCAGGCUGACUAAAAUCUCCCACAUAUAUUUCAACGCGAAACAAAUACAAUCCUUUCAUUUAUCACUUCCUGAAAUCUGAUUUCAGUUUUACCUUGGUUCUAAAUUUCUGCAAAAUUAAUACUAAGUUUCAGCGUGUGUACACAAGUUAUAAAUACCUCAAAUAACAUUCUUGAUUGAACAUUUCGCUGAAGCUGAAAGAUUUCAUACUCGAAAUUUAAAUACGGAUGAGAAACCAUUAUACAGAAAUUAAUUGUGCUUUCACUGUGCUGUACACAAUCUGUUCUUCUCUUAUUACUGUAUUAGCUACCCGUGCGCGACUUUACCCGCAUAGUAUUUAUUUUAAUGACAAUUUAUGUUUAUUAUUCUCUGUUUGAACACCCUUUAAGAGUUGAAUUUCGAAAAAUGAUCGGAAACGCAUUUGUUUAUUUGUAAUGAGGAGUUUGUUUGCCGAUUUUUACAUUUCCAAUUUUAAUAACUCAUUGGAUAAGGAGUUAACAUUUUAUCCUGUUUUUACUCCUUUAAGGUCCAUAUUUCCAAAAUCCUUUUUUACUUUACAUCUACGUCACAGAGGAAGUACAUAUACCGUUCAAAUUUCACGUUUCUGAACAAAAAUAAAUAAUCUGGAGGCAAGAAUUAAACUACGUAUGAAAAUAAGUUAAAAAUAUAGAGUAAAAUUUGUUCACAAGAUGUGUUUUCGACAAAAAUAAACUUGAAAAUGUAUCAUGCGCGUGUAUCAAACCAGUUUUUAACUAAACAUAUUCAACAUUUAUGGGCUUGAAAAGCCCAAAAAUAGCCGAAGCCAUAAACGAAAAUAUUUUAUUUUACAUUCUUGUCUUAUUUUCUCAUGUAUACUAAUCUCUUGCAUAUUUUUUCCAUAUUUUUGAUUUAUUUUUUGAUGUAAGACCACCUUGUAGCCAAUUGUAUUAAACUACCGGUUACGUACCAUCCUGUAUAGAUUGCGGAUUUUUAUGCAACCUUAUAUUUUUAUGGAUACAAAUACAAAUACAAAUGAAACAAAUGGACAAAACAAAUGGAACUGAAAACGAGAUUUGCUCCGUCCACUAAAUAUUACAGAGAGCACAUUAUUGCAGAUAUUUCUGCACAUUAUGUAUCUACAUUCUAUACAUUUUUACACUAUUAAAUUUCCCCUAAAUGCAUAAACAUUUGCAGUUUAUUUAUCAGAUAUAGUAAAAAUGUAUCGAAUACUAAUUAUAAUGAAAAAACUUAAAUACCUAAAGAUUUACGACAGACAUGAAAGAUUGGGAGAAAACUCAUUGUGAGAUAGUUAAGGAUUCACUUUCUCGGGUAAUUUAAAUUCAUAGUGAAAGUAGCUAUCAAAACGCAGCACUAAAUACAUGUAGGAACUUUGCAGCGAAUAAAUAUUGUAAUUAACUAGUUCUUUGAUUUGCUUGAAGAGAUACAAUACAAGAAAGUCAUAUACUUACGUACGCUAUCUGAAAUUAGAAGAAAAUCGAAUCAUUUGAUCUCAUCAUUACUCAUCAGUAAAAUAAUAACUCACAAAUCUGCUAAAGGAAUCAGAUCUACGGUAGGAGUACAAAUGUAUAUACACUAAAUACAUAUACAUAAGGAUUAUAAAUACAUCACUCUUUGAA